rnacentral:rRNA from 2 species
CGGAUUGUAGGCUGCAACUCGCCUGCAUGAAGUUGGAGUUGCUAGUAACCGCGCGUCAGCAAUAGUGCGGUGAAUACGUUCCCGGGGCUUGUACACACCGCCCGUCACGUCAUGGAAGCUGGCAACGCCUGAAGUCGGUAUCCUAACCGCAAGGAGGGAGCUGCCUAAGGUGGGGCUGGUAACUGGGACGAAGUCGUAACAAGGUAGGUGUACCGGAAGGUGCGCCUGGAUCACCUCCUUUCU